rnacentral:lncRNA from 1 species
UGCCAAAAUUGAAAUUAACAUACCGACUUAACCCACGUAUGAGCGAAUAAGGACACGUGGUACACUAGGAGUCGGCAAUAAGGCGCCUGAUGGUUUUAGGCUGGAACGGUUGAGAAGUGGGACGUAACUUUCAUGAGAAGUAGGCUUAACUUUCACAAUAUGGCGUAACUUCCAUGAGGAGUGGGCGUAACUUCCACGAUCAUGGUUACAACCACUCCCCCCACUACUUUCAACCAACCAAUAAUGUGGGGUGAUAUUACUAUAAAUAGUAAUUUGAAAGCCUGCAAUAGUGGUCUUUCUCCCCCCUCGAACGAGAAGACCACCUUUAUUUUCUCUACAAUUUUAUCGCUUUUUUAGCAGUAGUUUAAAUGUAAUCUUUUUCUUUUCCGCAUUUACUGCUUUCCUAGGAGUAGUUUUAAGUUAGAUUUCUGGAGUCUGUAUGCCCCAUGGGCACACCCAGUUGUAAACUAUAUUUGCAGAGUCUGUAUGCCCGACGGGCACACUCUAUUGUAAACUAAAUUUUCAGAGUCUGUAUGCCCUUUGGGCAUACUCGGUUUUAUUAAUAUAUAAAGGCCUUCGGCUCUUUCAAUCGACCAAUCAUUGUGUAUUCUAUAUAUUCGACUCAUCAGCCGACCAAUUACCGUACAUUUCAUCUAUUUGGCUCUUUUAGCCGAAUCGAGUUUACAGUAAAGGUUUUCGAAUUCGGCUGAUCCGAUCCCUCGUCAGCCGAAUCGCUUGAUUUAGUCGAAGGGCGCAAACUUCGAGAGUCACUAUCCGACGCCGUUUCGCAU